GUUGUUCGGUGCCGGUCGGGGUUCUCUAUGAGGCCUCUCCGGAUCAACAUUGAGCAAUCGAGGACUAUCAGCUGUUAACUGAAGAAGACGGAAGACUGAAGACUGAAGACUGAAGACUGAAGACGGAACGUGGUGGGUGGUGGGGGUGACUGACUGACUGACUGGGUGACUGACUGACUGACUGAGUGACUGAGUGACUGACUGACUGACUGACUGGGUGA